AUGAAGCUGUAACAGGUUGGUUGUGUUGCUGUCAGAUAAGAUGUCUGGGUGUCCCAGAGGUCUUCCAGGUCCAGCUGCAGCGUGAGAAACCCUCCAAUCAGAGUAGUCGAGUACGUGGAGCUGUGACUCAUCAGGAAACUACUCACCUGAGUUCUUCUUCAUCAACUCUUCUUCAUCAACUCUUCUUCAUCAACUCUUCUUCAUCACCUCUUUGGACUGUGUGAAGAAACUCCCUUCCUGCCUGCUUCCUGACAGGUGGAGCUGGGACUCAUUCCAGGGAACAGCUCACCUGUGUCAGAGAUUUCUCUCGAGGUGGAGAGUGACCCUCUUCUUCAUCAACUCUUUGGACUGUUUGAAGACACUGUAAGUAUCUGUUUGGUACUUUAACAACACGUUAGUCUUUGGUCUCUUCAGGGUUAGUUUCUGGCUCUGUAAUGUUAAAUAUAAUGUUUCUACUUCUCUUCUUAUUUC